UAAUACCUUGUGUAAAACCUGAUCAUGUACAGAAAAUAGGCAUUAUCUGUGUUCAUGGUGAUAAUAAGGAAUACCCCACUGCGGAAGUAAAUAUUGGAACCCAGUAUGGGGAUUUAAAGUACAGAGUGGGUGUAGUACCUAGAUUAGCCCAUGAGGUAGUGAUCGGUAGAGACUUUCCUCAUUUUCUAGACUUAUGGGCAGC